CCUGUAUAGUUGGUUUUAGGUUGGGGCGACCACGGAGUACAACCAAACCUCCGCAAUGGACGGGACCACUCCCUUAUCUAAGAGCCACACCUCUAAGAAUUAAAACACUAACAUAAAAUGAUCCAUGAUCUGAUCAAUGAACCAAGUUACCCUGGGGAUAACAGCGCAAUCCAUUUCAAGAGCCCUUAUCGACAAGUGGGUUUACGACCUCGAUGUUGGAUCAGGGUAUCCUAGUGGUGCAGCAGCUACUAAUGGUUCGUUUGUUCAACGAUUAAAACCCU
rnacentral:rRNA from 1 species